rnacentral:rRNA from 1 species
CCUACGGGAGGCAGCAGUGGGGAAUAUUGGACAAUGGGGGAAACCCUGAUCCAGCGACGCCGCGUGAGUGAAGAAGUCUUUCGGUACGUAAAGCUCUAUCAGCAGGGAAGAAAAUGACGUUACCUGACUAAGAAGCCCCGGAUAACUCCGACACAGCAACCGCGGGAAUACGUAGGGGGCAAGCGUGAUCCGGAUUUACUGGGGGUAAAGUGAGCGUAGACGGCAGCGCAAGUCUGGAGUGAAAUGCCGGGGCCCAACCCCGGAACUGCUCUGGAAACUGGGAAGGUGGAGUGCAGGAGAGGUAAGCGGAAUUCCUGGUGUAGCGGUGAAAUGCGUAGAUAUCAGGAGGAACACCGGCGGCGAAGGCGGCUUACUGGACUGUAACUGACGUUGAGGCUCGAAGGCGUGGGGAGCAAACAGGAUUAGAUACCCUAGUAGUC